GUGGGGAAUAUUGCACAAUGGAGGAAACUCUGAUGCAGCGACGCCGCGUGAGUGAAGAAGUAAUUCGUUAUGUAAAGCUCUAUCAGCAGGGAAGAUAGUGACGGUACCUGACUAAGAAGCUCCGGCUAAAUACGUGCCAGCAGCCGCGGUAAUACGUAUGGAGCAAGCGUUAUCCGGAUUUACUGGGUGUAAAGGGAGUGUAGGUGGCAUCACAAGUCAGAAGUGAAAGCCCGGGGCUCAACCCCGGGACUGCUUUUGAAACUGUGGAGCUGGAGUGCAGGAGAGGCAAGUGGAAUUCCUAGUGUAGCGGUGAAAUGCGUAGAUAUUAGGAGGAACACCAGUGGCGAAGGCGGCUUGCUGGACUGUAACUGACACUGAGGCUCGAAAGCGUGGGGAGCAAACAGGAUUAGAUACCCCGGUAGUCC
rnacentral:rRNA from 1 species